UCUAGAUUUUAGCAUGGAAUAAUAAAAUAGGACUUUGGUACUAUUUUGUUGGUUUGCAUACCAAAGUAAUGAUUAAUAGGAACAGUUGUGGAUAUUCGUAUGAGCAUGUCAGAGGUGAAAUUCUUGGAUUUUGAUCAGACGAACGACUGCGAAAGCAUUUAUCAAGGAUGUUUUCAUUAAUCAAGAACGAGAGUUAGGGGAUCGAAGAUGAUUAGAUACCAUCGUAGUCUUAACCAUAAACUAUGCCGACUAGGGAUUGGCGGACGUUGUUUUUGACUCCGCCAGCACCUCAUGAGAAAUCAAAGUCUUUGGGUUCCGGGGGGAGUAUGGUCGCAAGGCUGAAACUUAAAGGAAUUGACGGAAGGGCACCACCAGGAGUGGAGCCUGCGGCUUAAUUUGACUCAACACGGGGAAACUCACCAGGUCCAGAAAUCGGAUCCC
rnacentral:rRNA from 1 species